CUUCGUACCGAUUUCGCUCUGCAACUGACACCGGGCCUCAAUAACAAUGUCUACACAAGACGUCCAUAUGGUGUAGCUAUGUGCCGUGCCUGGUGUGGCAGAAUUGGUGAAUGUGAAACGUUCUGGUUUUCACCUACAACCUUUGAGUGUGUCCUGACUAAAACACACACCAAUCUCUCAAACCACAACGAACUACGAAUUCAAAAAGAGGGCCUUGUUACAUGUGAGGGAAAGACUUGCCACACACACGUUGAAUGUAUAACUUCCAGAUCAUCAAGAAACAAGUGCGUCAGAGAAAAAGGUAUCAUACUGCCGAAGAUCUAUCUUGGAAAACGUUCUGGAGGAAACACGACGCUAUUCGAGUGGGGACAAAAUGCUGACAGAGCGCCUUUGGAAAAACACAUAUUUCAGAAACAAAUCAAGGAAAUAAGAUACUUUUCACACGCAAACUGUCUACUUGUGUUAGAAUCUGAAAAUGCAGACAUAGGCUGCAUUGAUGUGGAACACUGGCACCACAGG